UGAACGCUGGCGGCGUGCCUAACACAUGCAAGUCGUACGAGAAAUCCCGAGCUUGCUUGGGAGAGUAAAGUGGCGCACGGGUGAGUAACGCGUGGGUAACCCACCUUCGAAUCUGGGAUAACUCCGCGAAAGCGGUGCUAAUACCGGAUAAGACCACAGCCGCUUCGGCGGUAGAGGUAAAAGCUGACCUCUCCAUGGAAGUUAGCGUUCGAGGACGGGCCCGCGUCCUAUCAGCUUGUUGGUGGGGUAAAGGCCUACCAAGGCAGCGACGGGUAGCUGGUCUGAGAGGAUGAUCAGCCACACUGGAACUGGAACACGGUCCAGACUCCUACGGGAGGCAGCAGUGAGGAAUUUUGCGCAAUGGGCGAAAGCCUGACGCAGCAACGCCGCGUGGGUGAAGAAGGCUUUCGGGUCGUAAAGCCCUGUCAGGUGGGAAGAAAAUCUUCAGCACUAAUAAUGCUGAAGCCUGACGGUACCACCAGAGGAAGCACCGGCCAACUCCGUA
rnacentral:rRNA from 1 species